rnacentral:rRNA from 1 species
AACUUUUGACAACGGAUCUCUUGGUUCUCCCAUCGAUGAAGAACGCAGCGAAACGCGAUAGGUAAUGUGAAUUGCAGAAUUCAGUGAAUCAUCGAAUCUUUGAACGCAUCUUGCGCUCCUUGGUAUUCCUCGGAGCAUGCCUGUUUGAGUGUCGUGAAU